AUGAUUUUCGGGAUAAAUGGGGGAUUCUGGAAGAGAAAUGGCAUUUUCUUCUGGUUAAAUGGGGGAUUGUCGAAGAGAAAAUGCACGAUUUUCGUUUACAGGUGAGAUUUUUGUAGAGGAAAUGCGUGAUUUUUUGGAUACAUGGGGGAUUCCUGUAGCAAAACUGUUUGAUUUUGGGGUCCAAUGGGGGAUUUUUGAAGAGCAAAAGUGUGAUUUUCGAGUUAAAUGGGGGAUUUUCCAAGAGAAAAUGUGUGAUUUGUGGGAUGAUGGGGUAUUUUUGAAGAGAUAAAGCAUGAUUUUGGGGUAAAAGCGUAUUUUCCGAGAGAAAAGGCGAGAUUUUGGGGUUAAAAGGGGGAUUGUUGAAGGGAAAAUGCAUGAUUUUGGGGUUUAGGGGGGGAUUCUAGAAGAGAAAAAAAGUGAUUUUCGGGUUUAAGCUGCUAUUUUUGUAGAGAAUAUGCAUGAUUUUAAGUUUAAAUCAGGGAUUCUUGAAGAGAAAAUGUGUGAUUUUUGUUUAAAUGGGGUAUUUUGGAAGGGAAAAUGCGUGAUUUUCGGGUUAAAUGGGGGAUUCUGGAAGAG
ensembl:lncRNA